CGGGGCUCGGCCAUGGCGGAGAGGGUGUCGGCAGCAGAGGCUGUAGCGCACUCAUGUAGGAGAUCCAUAGAUCGGAGCACACAGAGUUAAAACCCUUCAGGGGUGAUUGAGUGAAAACAGCUGCUACUCGUCCCCUCCUCCCUCCUUCUGGCCCCUUCCAUUGACCAGAGAAAGAUGGUCCCCAAGACUGUGAAAUGUAAGCCACGAGGUCAAGAAUAGAUGUCACAAGAAAAUACCAUAUAUGGAUCAACUAAUCAGUUGUACUCAUAUGAAUGAUGUCACUCUGUCUAUAAAGCUGUGAGAACAAUAAAGGUUCCGCCUCUUUUGCGGUUGGACACUC